rnacentral:rRNA from 1 species
ACUCCUGCGGGAGGCAGCAGUGGGGAAUUUUGGACAAUGGGCGAAAGCCUGAUCCAGCAAUGCCGCGUGUGUGAAGAAGGCCUUCGGGUUGUAAAGCACUUUUGUCCGGAAAGAAAUCCUUGGCUCUAAUACAGUCGGGGGAUGACGGUACCGGAAGAAUAAGCACCGGCUAACUACGUGCCAGCAGCCGCGGUAAUACGUAGGGUGCGAGCGUUAAUCGGAAUUACUGGGCGUAAAGCGUGCGCAGGCGGUUUGCUAAGACCGAUGUGAAAUCCCCGGGCUCAACCUGGGAACUGCAUUGGUGACUGGCAGGCUAGAGUAUGGCAGAGGGGGGUAGAAUUCCACGUGUAGCAGUGAAAUGCGUAGAGAUGUGGAGGAAUACCGAUGGCGAAGGCAGCCCCCCGGGCCAAUACUGACGCUCAUGCACGAAAGCGUGGGGAGCAAACAGGAUUAGAUACCCGAGUAGUCCCAUGA